rnacentral:misc_RNA from 1 species
CCAAUAGCGUAUAUUAAAGUUGUUGCAGUUAAAAAGCUCGUAGUUGAAUUUCGGGGUUAGUAAGUUGGUCGUGCCACUGGUAUGUACUGGCUUUACUGAUUCCUCCUUCUUGUAGAACCGUAAUGCCAUUAAGUUGGUGUUGCGGGGAAACAGGACUGUUACUUUGAAAAAAUUAGAGUGUUUAAAGCAAGCUAACGCUUGAAUACAUUAGCAUGGAAUAUUGAAAUAGGACGUUCGAUCCUAUUUUGUUGGUUUCUAGGAUUGACGUAAUGAUUAAUAGGGAUAGUUGGGGGCAUUAGUAUUCAAUUGUCAGAGGUGAAAUUCUUGGAUUUAUUGAAGACUAACUACUGCGAAAGCAUUUGCCAAGGAUGUUUUCAUUAAUCAAGAACGAAAGUUAGGGGAUCGAAGACGAUCAGAUACCGUCGUAGUCUUAACCAUAAACUAUGCCGACUAGGGAUCGGAUGAUGUUAAUUUUAUAAUGACUCAUUCGGCGCCUUACG